rnacentral:rRNA from 1 species
CUCUGUACUCCUACGGGAGGCAGCAGUGGGGAAUAUUGCACAAUGGGCGCAAGCCUGAUGCAGCCAUGCCGCGUGUGUGAAGAAGGCCUUCGGGUGUAAAGCACUUUCAGUCGUGAGGAAGGUGGUAGUGUUAAUAGCACUAUCAUUUGACGUUAGCGACAGAAGAAGCACCGGCUAACUCCGUGCCAGCAGCCGCGGUAAUACGGAGGGUGCGAGCGUUAAUCGGAAUUACUGGGCGUAAAGCGCAUGCAGGUGGUUUGUUAAGUCAGAUGUGAAAGCCCCGGGGCUCAACCUCGGAAUUGCAUUUGAAACUGGCAGACUAGAGUACUGUAGAGGGGGUAGAAUUUCAGGUGUAGCGGUGAAAUGCGUAGAGAUCUGAAGGAAUACCGGUGGCGAAGGCGGCCCCCUGGACAGAUACUGACACUCAGAUGCGAAAGCGUGGGGAGCAAACAGGAUUAGAUACCCCUGGUAG